AUGAGGUUUCUCACAGCACAAGCUGGUAAGGCACCUUGAAGACGACAAGGUUGAUAGGUUGGGAGUGGAAGUCCCGUGAGGGAUGGAGCUGACCAAUACUAAUAUGCCGAGGGCUUGACUUA
rnacentral:rRNA from 1 species